rnacentral:rRNA from 1 species
UACGAAGGGGGGCUAGCGUUGUUCGGAAUUACUGGGCGUAAAGCGCACGUAGGCGGAUUUGUAAGUCAGGGGUGAAAUCCCGGGGCUCAACCUCGGAACUGCCUUUGAUACUGCAAGUCUUGAGUCCGGAAGAGGUGAGUGGAAUUCCUAGUGUAGAGGUGAAAUUCGUAGAUAUUAGGAAGAACACCAGUGGCGAAGGCGGCUCACUGGUCCGGUACUGACGCUGAGGUGCGAAAGCGUGGGGAGC